GAUGAACGCUGGCGGCGUGCCUAAUACAUGCAAGUCGAGCGAACGGACGAGAAGCUUGCUUCUCUGAUGUUAGCGGCGGACGGGUGAGUAACACGUGGAUAACCUACCUAUAAGACUGGGAUAACUUCGGGAAACCGGAGCUAAUACCGGAUAAUAUUUUGAACCGCAUGGUUCAAAAGUGAAAGACGGUCUUGCUGUCACUUAUAGAUGGAUCCGCGCUGCAUUAGCUAGUUGGUAAGGUAACGGCUUACCAAGGCAACGAUGCAUAGCCGACCUGAGAGGGUGAUCGGCCACACUGGAACUGAGACACGGUCCAGACUCCUACGGGAGGCAGCAGUAGGGAAUCUUCCGCAAUGGGCGAAAGCCUGACGGAGCAACGCCGCGUGAGUGAUGAAGGUCUUCGGAUCGUAAAACUCUGUUAUUAGGGAAGAACAUAUGUGUAAGUAACUGUGCACAUCUUGACGGUACCUAAUCAGAAAGCCACGGCUAACUACGUGCCAGCAGCCGCGGUAAUACGUAGGUGGCAAGCGUUAUCCGGAAUUAUUGGGCGUAAAGCGCGCGUAGGCGGUUUUUUAAGUCUGAUGUGAAAGCCCACGGCUCAACCGUGGAGGGUCAUUGGAAACUGGAAAACUUGAGUGCAGAAGAGGAAAGUGGAAUUCCAUGUGUAGCGGUGAAAUGCGCAGAGAUAUGGAGGAACACCAGUGGCGAAGGCGACUUUCUGGUCUGUAACUGACGCUGAUGUGCGAAAGCGUGGGGAUCAAACAGGAUUAGAUACCCUGGUAGUCCACGCCGUAAACGAUGAGUGCUAAGUGUUAGGGGGUUUCCGCCCCUUAGUGCUGCAGCUAACGCAUUAAGCACUCCGCCUGGGGAGUACGACCGCAAGGUUGAAACUCAAAGGAAUUGACGGGGACCCGCACAAGCGGUGGAGCAUGUGGUUUAAUUCGAAGCAACGCGAAGAACCUUACCAAAUCUUGACAUCCUUUGACAACUCUAGAGAUAGAGCCUUCCCCUUCGGGGGGGCAGAGUGACAGGUGGUGCAUGGUUGUCGUCAGCUCGUGUCGUGAGAUGUUGGGUUAAGUCCCGCAACGAGCGCAACCCUUAAGCUUAGUUGCCAUCAUUAAGUUGGGCACUCUAAGUUGACUGCCGGUGACAAACCGGAGGAAGGUGGGGAUGACGUCAAAUCAUCAUGCCCCCUAUGAUUUGGGCUACACACGUGCUACAAUGGACAAUACAAAGGGCAGCGAAACCGCGAGGUCAAGCAAAUCCCAUAAAGUUGUUCUCAGUUCGGAUUGUAGUCUGCAACUCGACUACAUGAAGCUGGAAUCGCUAGUAAUCGUAGAUCAGCAUGCUACGGUGAAUACGUUCCCGGGUCU
rnacentral:rRNA from 1 species